rnacentral:lncRNA from 1 species
UAUAAUCGAGGUGCAACUAAUUCAUAGAAAUAAACAAGGAACAACCUUGUUAAAACCCGAAUAAUAAGAUAGAGAGUCGGGCUAGGCCCCUUUGGAUCACAAGUUUUGUUUCAUGUUUCUGACAACCGACGUUCAUUAACAUACAACUAGAAAUUUGAAAUUGAAGCUCGACAUGAAGUCAUCUUAAGUUGAGAAAACAAAAGGUGUAUAAGAGUUAUUACUACAGCGGAAGUCUAUAUAGAAAUUGAACCUUAGCCUCAGCUCAGUCCCGUCAGCACCGGCCAGCCAACCUGAAAACAUUUGAAAGUAUUUUUGGGCUAAGUACUAAUGUACUCAGUGGGCAAGCAUUUUCAUAAACAUUUCAUAUUUUCGUAAAGACAGUUUAUCCAAUCAUACUUGACAUGACUUAGAAGGUUUUAAAUUGAAAGAACUUCUAAGCAUGUUAAAAUAAUUUCUUUCAUUUGUGCGCACAUGUCACACUCCCUUUCUGUUACUCGCUGUGAUCCCGGACCUCUAGCCACCGACGGAUCCAUUUCUCCCAUUGCACUUGCCCUGAGGACGUAACUCAGACAAGUUGAAUUGACCUCGGGACGCUACCCAGGCAGGCCUUACAUGAUACAUGCUCCGGAACACAUCCCGUCGAGCACCCUUAUAACGCCUCUGGCCAGUGCCCGAUGGAGAUCAACCCACCAGGUCAGCUAGCAUGUGUACACGAUUCUCAGACAACGUGUUAGGUCAUAAGAGAACCUCAAUUGAUUAACUUUGCGAGCCUUAAACAGAGCAGAGUGCACAUAAACAUUUUAUUGGAUAAACAAUUUGCAUUUCAUUAAAUAAACAGUUUGCAGUUCAUUGAAACAUUUAGUGCUUAAUAACUCAAUCAUACUUUAUACAUUUGGAAAGUAAGCCCACCUGGAUAGGCAAAGCCUGAAGAUCAUAAUCACAUAAACUCGUCUUGGAAAAGCAGCGCUAAUCCCCUUGGUUCAUAAAGCCU